CCAGACUCCUACGGGAGGCAGCAGUGGGGGCUCUUGCACAAUGGGGGGCCCCCUGAUGCCGCGCCGCCGCGUGGGUGCCGGAGCACCUCGGUGCGUAAAGCCCUCUCGGCAGGGCAGCCACGCGAACAGGUUCGCCUGGACGGUCCCUGACUAAGAAGCCCCGGCUAACUACGUGCCAGCAGCCGCGGUAAUACGUAGGGGGCAAGCGUUAUCCGGAUUCACUGGGUGUAAAGGGAGCGUAGACGGCGACGCAAGUCGGGAGUGAAAGCCCGGGGCCCAACCCCGGGACUGCUCUGGAAACUGCGUCGCUGGAGUACGGGAGGGGCAGGCGGAAUUCCUGGUGUAGCGGUGAAAUGCGUAGAUAUCAGGAGGAACACCGGCGGCGAAGGCGGCCUGCUGGACCGGGACUGACGUUGAGGCUCGAGAGCGUGGGGAGCAAACAGGAUUAGAUACCCCGGUACCU
rnacentral:rRNA from 1 species